AAAGGAAUAGACGGGGGCCCGCACAAGCAGUGGAGCAUGUGGUUUAAUUCGAUGCAACGCGAAGAACCUUACCUAGGUUUGAAAGGCAAGCGACCGAGUGUGAAAGCACUCUUCCAGCAAUGGCGCUUGUACAGGUGCUGCAUGGCUGUCGUCAGCUCGUGCCGUGAGGUGUUGGGUUAAGUCUCGCAACGAGCGCAACCCCUACUAUUAGUUGCCAUCAGGUUAAGCUGGGCACUCUAAUGGGACUGCCUACGCAAGUAGUGAGGAAGGUGGGGAUGACGUCAAGUCAGCAUGGCCCUUACGUCUAGGGCUACACACGUGCUACAAUGGGUGCUACAACGGGUAGCGAAACCGCGAGGUGGAGCCAAUCCCUAAAAAGCAUCCUCAGUUCGGAUUGCAGUCUGAAACUCGACUGCAUGAAGCUGGAAUUGCUAGUAAUCGCGCAUCAGCAUGGCGCGGUGAAUACGUUCCCGGGCCUUGUACACACCGCCCGU
rnacentral:rRNA from 1 species